rfam:Picea glauca, whole genome shotgun sequence.
UCUUAUGUACAUGCCUACAACAUAGUGUUAAUGCACCGGAUCCCAUUAGAACUUUGCAAUUAAGCGUGCUUGGGCUAGAGUAGUACUUGCAUGGGUGACCUCCCCGGAAGUCUUAGUGUUUUAUAUGCC